GAUGAACGCUGGCGGCAGGCCUAACACAUGCAAGUCGAGGGAUAAGCCUUCGGGCUAAGACCGGCGCACGGGUGCGUAACGCGUAUACAAUCUGCCUUUUAUCCGGGGGAUAGCCCGAAGAAAUUUGGAUUAAUACCCUAUGGUAUAAGAGCACGGCAUCGUGCACUUAUUAAAGCUACGGCGGUAAAAGAUGAGUAUGCGUUCUAUUAGCUAGUUGGAGAGGUAACGGCUCCCCAAGGCGACGAUAGAUAGGGGUUCUGAGAGGGAUGUCCCCCACACUGGUACUGAGAUACGGACCAGACUCCUACGGGAGGCAGCAGUGAGGAAUAUUGGACAAUGGUCGGAAGACUGAUCCAGCCAUGCCGCGUGCAGGAUGACGGCCUUAUGGGUUGUAAACUGCUUUUGUAAGGGAAGAAUAAGGAGUACGUGUACUUUGAUGACGGUACCUUACGAAUAAGCAUCGGCUAACUCCGUG
rnacentral:rRNA from 1 species